UCCAGCAGUGGUCAGCUGUCCAGACAGAAUCAUGCCUGUGAUGGUGUCCCACUCCUGGGAAAGGAAUAUCCUGUCUUCUUCCUCCAGUUGCCUCCCUCACUGUUCUGGUGCCAUCUGGCACUGGUGCACAGCAGAACUGUGCUUUCUUUAGAGCGAGCUGAGCAUCACUUUGGCUGCUUAAUUCUAGUGUGGGAGCGCACACA